rnacentral:rRNA from 1 species
UACGGGGGGGGCAAGCGUUGUUCGGAAUUACUGGGCGUAAAGGGCGCGUAGGCGGCCUUCUAAGUCGGACGUGAAAUCCCUCGGCUCAACCGAGGAACUGCGUCUGAUACUGGAAGGCUUGAAUCCGGGAGAGGGAUGUGGAAUUCCAGGUGUAGCGGUGAAAUGCGUAGAUAUCUGGAGGAACACCGGUGGCGAAGGCGGCAUCCUGGACCAACACUGACGCUGAGGAGCGAAAGCCAGGGGAGCAAACGGG